UAGUCUAUGGCAUACUGAGGCUCGAUUGUAAGUGUUGUUCAGUCCCCUCAAGUGGUACUGAUUAGUUUCAAAUUGGUUUCUGGCUCAUGGACUAAAAUAGGUAUUGACUGAUC